rnacentral:piRNA from 1 species
UGGCAAUCAUUUACAGUUCAUAAGGAUGGU